UACGUAGGGUGCGAGCGUUAAUCGGAAUUAUUGGGCGUAAAGCGCGCGCAGGUGGUUUCUUAAGUCUGAUGUGAAAGCCCACGGCUCAACCGUGGAGGGUCAUUGGAAACUGGGAGACUUGAGUGCAGAAGAGGAAAGUGGAAUUCCAGGUGUAGCGGUGAAAUGCGUAGAUAUCUGGAGGAAUACCGGUGGCGAAGGCGGCAUCCUGGACCGAUAUUGACACUCAGUGAGCGAAAGCCAGGGGAGCAAACGGG
rnacentral:rRNA from 1 species